UGAGAUCGCGGAGGUAGUAAAGCGGUCCAAGGGAAUGACAAGCUAUUGUCCAGGGUUGGUAACCGUGAGAGGGAACGGAAUUCGGAACUGAAGCCUCUCAUAAGUCUCGGCGUUCUGAUGACGCGCCCAACGGUUCACUUUUAACAGUUCCGCGGAAGAGGCACCAGUGGCCCUCGAUUGUGCGCGUCUCGUGAUUAAAUUCUAGUUAGCGAGAUUAGUAGUUCGAACUAGUGCCGUGUCGUGUGCGUGUGUGAAGACCGUGUGCAUGUGCGUUCCAGAAAUCCUGCUCUGCAUCCACCGCCACGCUCGUCAAAGACGGCCCGAUCUACCGGGGACCAGCUACCGCUUCGAUCCGGCCGCAACGCCCACGCCGCCGAAGGCCAGCGCUCGCCAAACCGCGCUCGGCAGCGGAACUGUACGGCCACGCCGUAACAGGACAGCAGCAACCGUCACCGCAGCGUCCUUGAAUUAACCGCCAUCGCGAUCAGCAUCCGCCAUCGCGAUCGCCAACCGCCAUCAACCUAACCUGGAAGGUUAGAAACCACGUGAGUGAGGA
rnacentral:lncRNA from 1 species